UUUCUUUGCAUUUGUUUUUCUGCUAUGUAAAUUAAGAGAAGAGAGGAGAGAGGAGCCAGCCCGGCCGGCCUCUUAGGCCUGACCGACUAGGCCUCCCUUGGCCCAACUCCCCUUCUCUGUUUUUUUUCCUUUCUUUGCACUUUAGCCAACAAUCAGGUUAGCCUGUUUGGCCCAUCCAACAGGCCAUCCAUCCGUCUCAACCCUAGCACGCCCGAUCCCAUCUCCCCUCUCCCAUCGAACUCCCUCGCGCCGUCAGGAGACAGCGAGCGUGCUGCCUCACUCGAUCUCCCCUCGCCCUCUUCUCGAUCCCAUCUCCCUCCACCGCCGCCUCGCACGCAGGAGCCCCGCGCCCGAGCCUCAAGCGCCGCUUCGCCCUCCUCUGGCGUCGUCCCUCUCCCUCGCGCCGCCAACCUCCUGCUGCCUCGCUCCAGCCACCGUAGAACCAGGCCACCGCUCCGGCAAGCCACCCCGGCGCCGCCCUCGCGCGCCUCGUAUCUCCUCGCUGGGACACGAGCCGCGUGCCCGCGAUGGCCGCGCCAUGGCCACCUCCCUCCUGCUCAGAUAGGGGAGGAGCGCAGCCCCUCGCACCGCCCGGCAACCCUACUGUCGCUGGUGAGCGACGCCGUCGGCAGGACCUUGGCUGCUCUCCGCCAUGGCCUUCCUCCUCCCACGCCCUGCUUCUCGCCGGUGACCACGACCAGCCCCGACCUCCUCUGUUUUUCCUCCUGCUUCGCCGGCCUAGUCCGCCUCGUCGCCGUCCUCCCAGUGCCGCCUCGAGCUCGUGAUCGCCUUGCUUUGCCUCCUAGUAGGCAACAGCAGCGUUCACCUCGCCCCUCGUUGGCCUUCGACCCCUGCUCGACGCCAAGACCAUGGCUCCAUGUCCCCGUGGACGCCAAGUUCUUUUCCGGAGACCUCCCCAAGACCAGGAUACGCCAAGACCCAUUCGUGGAUUUCUUCAAGUUCAAGCACCGCUGAACGAGUGCUUUUGCCUUGCUCAUUUUGGGACACGAUAAGUUCCUCUUCGAAAGUACGUCUACAUGAUGACCUGACAAGUACCAUGGCACCGAAGACCUUUGAUGCGUCAAGUCCAUUUUCGGAAGUGUACCACUACCACCGUCUUCGGAAUUGCUAAGAACAACAAGUAUCUUGACGCUCGAUGCAUAGAACAACUACCGUCAUCGACGACCCGGGUACCAGAAAUGCCAAGUACCCCUUCGAAUUGACGAGACCGGGAAGUUCGAAGACCUCAAGUACCUCUUGGAAACGACCGAGUACCACCACCGUCGACCCUCGAAGACCCCGUGGAUGUCAAGUUCCUCGUUGUGACCCCGAACACCUACGGAGUGUGUACAACUACGAAGCGAGAACGACUACUUCCACUACGACGGUCACGAGAACGUCUGCUUCCCCUACACCGCUCCAAACUUGUUCCGUUCCGAAAAGGCACGCUUCGAAGCUAUGCCUCUAAGUCGUGUCACGGCACGUGGAAGAUAUAACCGCAUUGUGGGUGUUACAUAAGAUUACAUCCCUUAAAGGCAUGCAAGGACUCCAGCAGCGGAAAGGGGUUAGGUCUGUGCCUUGUUUGGGACAACUCCAUCAGUCUGAGCCUUCUUCAACAGUUGGGCGCCGAAGCUCUCGAUGCUUAAGUGAUUGGGUUGAUAUUCGUGGGAGGCCAUGGAGCGAAGAAUGGUCGUAGGAGAGGCACGGAGUUUGUGCAGCAAAGUGGGGACAAAGAACCGAAUUUUGUGCAGCGGGGAGGGGCAGAGGCCGGUCGGUGCCAGGGGGG